rnacentral:rRNA from 1 species
GACGAACGCUGGCGGCGCGCUUAAUACAUGCAAGUCGAGCGAGAACCAGGGCUUCGGCCCUGGGGACAGCGGCGAACGGGUGAGUAACACGUGGGUAAUCAACCCCCGACACCGGGAUAGCCCAGGGAAACUUGGAUUAAUACCGGAUGCCCCGUCUGGCCUUCGGGCCGGCCGGAAAAGGGUAGCUUCGGCCUCUGGUCGGGGACCAGCCCGCGGCGGAUUAGCUUGUUGGUGAGGUAAAGGCUCACCAAGGCGACGAUCCGUAGCUGGUCUGAGAGGACGAUCAGCCACACUGGGACUGAGACACGGCCCAGACUCCUACGGGAGGCAGCAGUAGGGAAUCUUGCGCAAUGGGCGAAAGCCUGACGCAGCGACGCCGCGUGAGGGAAGAAGGCCUUCGGGUUGUAAACCUCUUUCAGGAGGGACGAAGCCACUCGGGUUAAUAGCCUAGAGGGUGACGGUACCUCCAGAAGAAGCCCCGGCUAACUACGUGCCAGCCGCCGCGGUAAAAC